GGUGGCUCAGUGGUAGAGCGCUUGCCUCGCAUGCAUGAGGCUCAGGGUUCGAUUUCUUAGUACCA
rfam:Dipodomys ordii contig_30618, whole genome shotgun sequence.